UAGGGAAUCUUCGGCAGUGGACGAAAGUCUGACCGAGCAACGCCGCGUGAGUGAAGAAGGUUUUCGGAUCGUAAAACUCUGUUGUUAGAGAAGAACAAGGACGUUAGUAACUGAACGUCCCCUGACGGUAUCUAACCAGAAAGCCACGGCUAACUACGUGCCAGCAGCCGCGGUAAUACGUAGGUGGCAAGCGUUGUCCGGAUUUAUUGGGCGUAAAGCGAGCGCAGGCGGUUUCUUAAGUCUGAUGUGAAAGCCCCCGGCUCAACCGGGGAGGGUCAUUGGAAACUGGGGGACUUGAGUGCAGAAGAGGAGAGUGGAAUUGCAUGUGUAGCGGUAAAAUGCGUAGAUAUAUGGAGGAACACCAGUGGCGAAGGCGGCUCUCUGGACUGUAACUGACGCUGAGGCUCGAAAGCGUGGGGAGCAAACAGG
rnacentral:rRNA from 1 species